GGGUUGUGAGGUUAAGCGACUAAGCGUACACGGUGGAUGCCCUGGCAGUCAGAGGCGAUGAAGGACGUGCUAAUCUGCGAAAAGCGUCGGUAAGGUGAUAUGAACCGUUACAGCCGGCGAUGUCCGAAUGGGGAAACCCAGUGCAAUUCGUUGCACUAUCGUUAACUGAAUACAUAGGUUAACGAGGCGAACCGGGGGAACUGAAACAUCUAAGUACCCCGAGGAAAAGAAAUCA
rnacentral:rRNA from 1 species